rnacentral:rRNA from 1 species
GAUGAACGCUGGCGGCGUGCCUAAUACAUGCAAGUCGAGCGAACGGACGAGAAGCUUGCUUCUCUGAUGUUAGCGGCGGACGGGUGAGUAACACGUGGAUAACCUACCUAUAAGACUGGGAUAACUUCGGGAAACCGGAGCUAAUACCGGAUAAUAUUUUGAACCGCAUGGUUCAAAAGUGAAAGACGGUCUUGCUGUCACUUAUAGAUGGAUCCGCGCUGCAUUAGCUAGUUGGUAAGGUAACGGCUUACCAAGGCAACGAUGCAUAGCCGACCUGAGAGGGUGACCAGACACACUGGAACUGAGACACGGUCCAGACUCCUACGGGAGGCAGCAGUAGGGAAUCUUCCGCAAUGGGCGAAAGCCUGACGGAGCAACGCCGCGUGAGUGAUGAAGGUCUUCGGAUCGUAAAGCUCUGUUAUUAGGGAAGAACAUAUGUGUAAGUAACUGUGCACAUCUUGACGGUACCUAAUCAGAAAGCCACGGCUAACUACGUG